rnacentral:sRNA from 1 species
CGAGCGGAUCUUCUCCUUCGGGAGAGGGUUAGCGGCGGACGGGUGAGUAACACGUAGGCAACCUGCCCACAAGACUGGGAUAACAUUCGGAAACGAAUGCUAAGACCAGAUACAUCAUUCUGCUGCAUGGCGGGAUGAGGAAACACGGUGCAAGCUGUGACUUGUGGAUGGGCCUGCGGCGCAUUAGCUAGUUGGUGAGGUAACGGCCCACCAAGGCGACGAUGCGUAGCCGACCUGAGAGGGUGAACGGCCACACUGGGACUGAGACACGGCCCAGACUCCUACGGGAGGCAGCAGUGGG